UGGGCCCCUUCGAUGGCCCAUAGGCCAUACCAUCUACUUCUGGCCUUCUCUCGUGCGUAUCUCCUCCAUCUGGACUUCGUUAGAGCUGUUUUUGGGCUCGUUAGAUUUCGUUCAUCAUCCUGAACCUCGUUCUAGACUUAUUAUGAAUGAAAUAUUGAGGUAUUUUUUUUAAACAUUCUCUCAGUCCAAAGAUAGCAAUUAAAGAUUCCACUACCAACCUCAACAAUAGUAAUAGAAGAUCCCUCGAUC
rnacentral:lncRNA from 1 species